CAGCCGCCGCGGGAAUACGAAGGGUGCAAGCGUUAAUCGGAAUUACUGGGCGUAAAGCGUGCGUAGGCGGUUCGUUAAGUCUGUUGUGAAAUCCCCGGGCUCAACCUGGGAAUGGCAAUGGAUACUGGCAAGCUAGAGUGUGUCAGAGGAUGGUGGAAUUCCCGGUGUAGCGGUGAAAUGCGUAGAGAUCGGGAGGAACAUCAGUGGCGAAGGCGGCCAUCUGGGACAACACUGACGCUGAGGCACGAAAGCGUGGGGAGCAAACAGGAUUAGAUACCCCCGUAGUCCCUGUCUCUUAUAC
rnacentral:rRNA from 1 species